UCACAUCCGAGGCCUUGUAAUUGGAAUGAGUACACUUUAAAUCCUUUAACAAGGAUCAAUUGGAGGGCAAGUCUGGUGCCAGCAGCCGCGGUAAUUCCAGCUCCAAUAGCGUAUAUUAAAGUUGUUGCGGUUAAAACGUUCGUAGUUGAACUUGUGUCUCGCACGGGCAGCUACCAUAGGUCAGUUUACUGUCCCGGUAACUUGUCUUAUCUUGUCUUUACGUCAGUAUUGGCAAAAGUGCGUGGACGUAUUAUCGGCGUGUUCACUCUUGCAGUGUUCACAUAAGCUCAUUUCAGUGAUCUUUACCGAUUGUUGUUGUGAGCCGAUACAAAUUACUUUGAACAAAUUAGAGUGCUUAAAGCAGGCUUGUAAUGCCUGAAUAUUUUGUGCAUGGAAUAAUGAAAUAGGACAUCUGUUCUACUUUCAUUGGUUUAAUAGACCAAGAUGUAAUGAUUAAUGGAAGCAGUUGGGGGCAUUAGUAUUACAACGCGAGAGGUGAAAUUCUUAGACCGUUGUAAGACUGACUAAAGCGAAAGCAUUUGCCAAAGAUGUUUUCAUUUAAUCAAGAACGAAAGUUAGAGGUUCGAAGGCGAUCAGAUACCGCCCUAGUUCUAACCAUAAACGAUGCCAGCUAGCAAUUGAGUGUAGCUACUAUUAUGGCUCUUUCAGUCGCUUCUCGGGAAACCAAAGCUUUUGGGCUCCGGGGGAAGUAUGGUUGCAAAGCUGAAACUUAAAGGAAUUGACGGAAGGGCACCACCAGGAGUGGAGCCUGCGGCUUAAUUUGACUCAACACGGGAAAACUUACCAGGUCCGAACAUAAAUGAGUAAGACAGAUUG
rnacentral:rRNA from 1 species